GACGAACGCUGGCGGCGUGCCUAACACAUGCAAGUCGAGCGAAUGAAGUUCCUUCGGGAAUGGAUUUAGCGGCGGACGGGUGAGUAACACGUGGGCAACCUGCCUCAUAGAGGGGAAUAGCCUUCCGAAAGGGAGAUUAAUACCGCAUAAGAUUGUAGUACCGCAUGGUACAGCAAUUAAAGGAGCAAUCCGCUAUGAGAUGGGCCCGCGGCGCAUUAGCUAGUUGGUGAGGUAACGGCUCACCAAGGCGACGAUGCGUAGCCGACCUGAGAGGGGGAUCGGCCACAUUGGGACUGAGACACGGCCCAGACUCCUACGGGAGGCAGCGGUGGGGAAUAUUGCACAAUGGGGGAAACCCUGAUGCAGCAACGCCGCGUGAGUGAUGACGGCCUUCGGGUUGUAAAGCUCUGCCUUCAGGGACGAUAAUGACGGUACCUGAGGAGGAAGCCACGGCUAACUACGUGCCAGCAGCCGCCGUAA
rnacentral:rRNA from 1 species